GGCUGAGGCUCAGUGGUAGAGCGCUUGCCUAGCAUGUGCUGGGUUCAAUUCUCAGCACAUCGAAAAAUAAAUAAAUAAAAUAAAGUCAUUACGUCUAACUACAGCUAAAAAUAUUUUUUUAAAAAAAAGGUGGUUUCAGGGCUAGGGGUAAAGCUCAGUUGGUAGAAACACAAGGUCCUGGGUUCAAUCCCCAGCACCA
rnacentral:tRNA from 1 species